rnacentral:lncRNA from 1 species
ACCGCCACGGUGACUUGCAAGCAACUCACUGCACUUAGGCACUGGAUUACCUGAAUUUUUAAUUCAGUGACGGAAGGCUGCUGGGUGUAGUCAAGUACUUGACUUGUCGGUGCGUGUGUCAAGAUGGGAUUGACCACUCCAGUUUAGGAGCUGUGUACAAUCAUGUUUCAAUUUAGCAAAACCUUGGCCAGGGUAGUCCUUGUGAGGAGUCACAGGACUGUUUGAGUUGAGCACGAUUCGGAUGAUCCGAUCAGGGUUGACAGUUUAACCCUGAGUCAUCCUAAACACAGGGGUCAAAAGGAUGAAUUAUACAGUAACCAUAUUCAUGUAGGUUCUGAGUGUUGCAAUUGCGACUCUUCGAUCAAGACGUAUGGCUUCGUUAAGAACGGAGAAGAGCCAUGCAUUUAUAAGUGGGCUAAUGGUCCAGUAGUAGUAUUUCUUGUAUUAUAUGUGGAUGAUAUUCUCUU